UUUUAAAAUUUUAUUUUACUUAUAUUUUAAUUGACAGAGAUGAGAGAGAGGAGAGAAGAAAUUAAGCGAAGCAAAGAACUUGAUUGAUUCAAGAGGGAGGAGGUUCUGAGGUGAAGCAAGAAGAGUGAACGUUUGCUGCCUCCUUUGCCGUUCGAUUUCCUUUCGAGCAAUAUUCUUCCCGUCACGCAUAAUAUUUCCACUGCUCGUCAUGAAGCUUUCACACACACGGAGGGUCAGAAAGUUUGUACAGAUUGAUUAAAAUGUUUUGUUCGCUUAUCUUCUCGUUAACAUUGGAUCUGGUGUUAGUAUGAUCAAGGUUGAUGGAAGUUUGAACGAUUCAGAGGGACAAAUGUUGAGCUUGCGAAGGAUUCUCAGUGCCAAGCAGAGCUGUGCCUCCAGGCUUUCCUACUCAUGGGGCAGUACACUAUGAUUUUGACCAUUCUGCAGCUCUGCUCCACUAUCUAGGAAUAUUGGCAUCUCUGGGGAUGUUGAAUUUAUUGAUCCUGCAAUAAUGGAAGUUGGCAAAGGAUUUCUAUCAGAAAGCUGAAUAAUCCAGGCUUUGAUACAAAGUCAGCUUUAUCUCCUCAGUUUACUCCAGCAAUAAUGGAAGUUGGCAGAGGAUUUGCAACAUGAUUUCUGUGGAAUGGGAAUUACUCCUUCAUGCUUGAAUAGGCUGAUGAACGUGGCAGAAUGAUUGAUUUAGUGGCUUCGAAGGUGCCCUUAGAUGAAUAUACUUGGAUUUGGUUUUAUAGUCUCGUUGCAUAUUGGUGGUUGGCAACCCUAAUCAGGUGCAUUCUUUGCCCCCUCCCAUUAACAGGAACUCAUGUCUACUACAAGAGCGUGUGAAAAGGCGGUUUAUCAUUAUGUCAGAAAUGAAGGUGUGGUGCAAGAGAUUACUGUGAUGUUAGAGGUUUAGAUUUCCUUUUUGGGUAUUUUAACAUUGUUUGGUGCUGACUAAGUAUGUUUUAUGAAAUCUGGGCUGAUUUUGUACAGCAAUGAUAAAAUACCAUUAUUUUAACAAGGCGUUUGGUGAAAUGCCAAUAAAAGUUUUAGCUCUACACAAGGUUGUAAUAUUAGUUUAAUAACAAGGUUUUUAUAUUAAUUAA